CAGCCGCCACGGUAAUACGUAGGGUGCAAGCGUUAAUCGGAAUUACUGGGCGUAAAGCGUGCGCAGGCGGUUAUAUAAGACAGAUGUGAAAUCCCCGGGCUCAACCUGGGACCUGCAUUUGUGACUGUAUAGCUAGAGUACGGUAGAGGGGGAUGGAAUUCCGCGUGUAGCAGUGAAAUGCGUAGAUAUGUGGAGGAAUACCGAUGGCGAAGGCAGCCCCCUGGGAUAACACUGACGCUCAUGCACGAAAGCGUGGGGAGCAAACAGGAUUAGAUACCCCCGUAGUCCCUGUCUCUUAUAC
rnacentral:rRNA from 1 species